UACGUAGGGUGCAAGCGUUAAUCGGAAUUACUGGGCGUAAAGCGUGCGCAGGCGGUUCGGAAAGAAAGGUGUGAAAUCCCAGGGCUUAACCUUGGAACUGCACUUUUAACUACCGGGCUAGAGUACGUCAGAGGGGGGUAGAAUUCCACGUGUAGCAGUGAAAUGCGUAGAGAUGUGGAGGAAUACCGAUGGCGAAGGCAGCCCCCUGGGCCUGCACUGACGCUCAUGCACGAAAGCGUGGGGAGCAAACAGG
rnacentral:rRNA from 1 species